rnacentral:lncRNA from 1 species
UUCCCAAUGAGAUCAAACCCUAGGUUUGAUGUAUGUUGUGAGCUAGGGUACCCAAAUUGGGGCUUUUGCUUGUGAGGGUUCUAAAGUGCAAUUGACCCUCUAGAAACCUAAUUGGGGGUAUUUCCGACGCGUUGGUGCGCUCGGAUUAACGUUACGAAAAGCCAAUGUAAAGAUAUGAGCAAAAUGGCCUAAUAAUGCUUCGUUUUGCCGCAGGUGACAAACUAGGAGUCUAAAAAUCCCAAGAAAAUUGUCGGAGCACCUUUGAGAACCUACGAGGUGGGUGGUGCUAUCCAAACUCGUUGAACUUCCUUCUAUGCCUAAUGUGUCAUUCAAUUGAGCAUAUGAUAUAUACAUUGUUGCAUGCAUCGUAGGGUAUAUGUAAUGAGAAUGAUGUAAUGUUGCAUGUUGUGAGUACAAUUUGCCUAAUGAGAUGGUUGAGACCCCUAUGAAUGUUUAACCCUAUAUGUAUGCAUGAGAUAAAAUGUGAGCACCCAAGUGAGGCAAAAGAACAGAGUGACACAAUGAGACAUAGAUCGAGUGGCAUUCGAUAAUGUAAAGUAAUGUGACACUAGAGUUAGUGUGUGGCAUUAAAGAGAAAUGUGAUGCAGUGAUAAUGAUUAGAGAUAAGUAAAGAAAAUAAAAGUGGCAUAAAGAACGAGCAAAGCUAGAGAACAAUGAUUGAUAGAGUUAGCAAAAUAAAGUGAUGUAAAGAACACUAGAGUUAGUGUAAAGACAAUGAUUGAACUAUAUAUCCUUAGAGUUAAGGAUUGAUCAUACUUGCUAUGAGUUCCGUGCUCGAGGGCGGUCGCUCCCCCUCGGGCGAUGCGCUCCGGAGUUUUUGCAUCACGGGUUGGAGUAAACCCGAGGACGGUCUUAGCGGGAGGAAGCUGAGGGCCCGCGAUGAUGGACUUAAUGUGGGCAAGUUAAUGUGGCGAAACCCCCGGGUUAGCCGUGAGAUUAAAGAGUAAAGAAUAAAGAGUAAAGAACAAAAGAACUUGCAUAAUUUGCAUAAUUUAUGUUGAGCAUAUUUCUUGCUAUUUGUUCAGGCAUAUUAGCAUCAUGAUUAUAGUUUGGUUACUAUUCUGCUUAUCCUUUCUAUUAUGCCUGAGUUAGUCCUAGUGGGAAAGUCGGUGAUGUUGGGGCCGAACCCACUGGGAACUUUGUUGUAGUUCUCACCCCACUAUUCCACAGAGCCGGGAACGAGCGAGCCGGCGAGCGACCGCGGUAAAGGUAUCUCACCCUAGACAGUGGCCACCCGAAUCAGGCUUUACAUUUUGUAGUAGUUUACCCUUUUAUCAUCUUUUGUAUUUGAUGAUUUAAGAUGAUGAUAUAUAAAGCAAAGAAAGAAUGAAAGAAUGUAAUAUUUAUUUUGAGCAUAUGGGAUGUAAAAAGAAAUGAUGAAAGUAUGUAAAGACUUUAUGAUGUACAAGUUGGUUAAAUACAAUGUAUGUGAUCAAAAGUGAAUCAUAUUA